rnacentral:rRNA from 1 species
GACGAACGCUGGCGGCGUGCUUAACACAUGCAAGUCGAGCGGUAAGGCCCUUUCGGGGGUACACGAGCGGCGAACGGGUGAGUAACACGUGGGUGACCUGCCCUCAGCUCUGGGAUAAGCCUGGGAAACCGGUGUAAUACCGGAUAGUGACUCCAUCGACGCAUGUUGUGGGGUGGAAAGCCUUGUGCGGCUGAGGAUGGGCCCGCCGGCCUAUCAGCUUGUUGGUGGGGU